rnacentral:lncRNA from 1 species
UGAUAACAAGAACCUAAAAAAUUAUAAGAAUUUAAAAUUAUUUGAGAGAGCAGAAACUCAGAAAAAAUAAAUAAAAUACAAGAAUUUAGAAAACCCUAAAAAUCCAAUGGAUCCAAUGAACAAUAAGGGCAAUUCCUCCCUUGAAUUUGUUGACCCUUAACUCCAUUACUUGAAUAACUUCUACUAGGCUCCAAGAAAACCAAUUCUUUGUUGUUGCCUUGGCAGUGGUGCUACUACUGCUUCUUUUAGCUCCUCA